CUUAAAGCUUAAUUGAGGGUCAGAGCUUAAUUGGAGAAGAGUGUUAAAAGUAAAAGACCCAAAGGUUGGUUAAGUAGAUGAAGGUUUUGUGGCGCAAACCCACCCCACUGCAUUACAGCUCAGUCCGUCCUCCUCAUACACCACCAGCAGAUUUGCACACUGCCUUCGGUUGCUUCUCUUCAGCUUGCUCCCUACAGUGGCUCUGACCAUUGUCUGUGGAAGGCAAAACCAGGUUUAAUGUGCUUGAUCAAACAGGUUCCGCUAAGUGCUAGCUUUGUGCCUGGGUAACCCCACAAGGACAGUGAGAGACAGAAGCCAGGCAGCUCAACAGCAAUGUACCCCUGCGCUGGACCAAUGGAGACCUCUCGGAAGACAAAAACACUGUCUGCAUGAGAUACAGAGAGAGAAUUGAGGCAGCAAUCGCAAAGCACCGUGGGGCCAUUCCUACUAGGGCCGGCUCCAGGCACCAGCGAUGGAAGCAGGUUCCUGGGGUGGCCAAUAGAAAGGGGCAGCAGCUCGUCCAUUGUUGGGGCGGCAGGCCCAGGUCUUCGGCGGAAAUUCAGCGGCGGGUCCUUCACUCCCUCUCUUCGUCUUCGGCAGCACUUCAGCGGCAGC